rnacentral:rRNA from 1 species
UACGUAGGGUGCAAGCGUUGUCCGGAAUUAUUGGGCGUAAAGAGCUCGUAGGCGGUCUGUCGCGUCUGCUGUGAAACCUAGGGCUUAACUCUGGGCGUGCAGUGGGUACGGGCAGACUAGAGUGCGGUAGGGGAGACUGGAAUUCCUGGUGUAGCGGUGAAAUGCGCAGAUAUCAGGAGGAACACCGGUGGCGAAGGCGGGUCUCUGGGCCGUAACUGACGCUGGAGGAGCGAAAGCGUGGGGAGCGAACAGG